GAUGAACGCUGGCGGCGUGCCUAAUACAUGCAAGUCGAGCGAACAGACGAGGAGCUUGCUCCUCUGACGUUAGCGGCGGACGGGUGAGUAACACGUGGAUAACCUACCUAUAAGACUGGGAUAACUUCGGGAAACCGGAGCUAAUACCGGAUAAUAUAUUGAACCGCAUGGUUCAAUAGUGAAAGACGGUUUUGCUGUCACUUAUAGAUGGAUCCGCGCCGCAUUAGCUAGUUGGUAAGGUAACGGCUUACCAAGGCAACGAUGCGUAGCCGACCUGAGAGGGGGAUCGGCCACACUGGAACUGAGACACGGUCCAGACUCCUACGGGAGGCAGCAGUAGGGAAUCUUCCGCAAUGGGCGAAAGCCUGACGGAGCAACGCCGCGUGAGUGAUGAAGGUCUUCGGAUCGUAAAACUCUGUUAUUAGGGAAGAACAAAUGUGUAAGUAACUAUGCACGUCUUGACGGUACCUAAUCAGAAAGCCACGGCUAACUACGUA
rnacentral:rRNA from 1 species